GUUUCUGUAGCGCAAUAGAUAGCGCGUUGGACUUCUAAUCCAAAGGUCGUGAGUUCCAAUCCCACCUGGGAUG
rnacentral:tRNA from 1 species